rnacentral:rRNA from 1 species
AUCUAUGGCCAUACCACCCUGAACAUGCCCGAUCUUGUCUGAUCUCAGCAGCUAAGCAGGGUUGGGCCUGGUUAGUACUUGGAUGGGAGACCACCUAGGAAGACCAGGUGCUGUAGGCG